GUUUGAACCUCUUUCGUUGCCGUAGUUAGAGCCUUGUUUCCUAGCAACAAGCAUCAGCACUCUGGCAUUAACUGUUACUGAUGCAAAACAAACAUUUUUCGAAACUGUUUAAGGCCAAAAACAUCAGCUAAAGUAACGCGUUAGCAGACCUGUGUUUGACCAAGGAAGAUGUCUGCCUUUCUCAAACACUCACCUUCGGCUUCCACGUGGGUUUGGCAGUAUUUUGGAGGGGUUGUUUCGAGAGGUCAUCCCCACGUUUGCGACAUUUUACUUCCCCGCUCUUCUCAAAGAACGAGAAGAGAGUGGCCUGGAGUGGUGUGCCAGGCUAGAGGACAGAUUCUCCAACAAUCAUGUAUUCAAUAACUCACCCAAUCAAGUCAAAACCAAUCCAGCUGAUGCAUCUCUGAAGAUUUCUGAGUGAGUCUCAUCUCAGCACAUUAUCUACACCCAAGGAGAGGGACAACAUCAGACCGCUUUUUUCCCACAUAUUUAAUUGAAAGAAAAGAACAAGAGAGACCAAGAAAAGUCUUAUGGUGAAAAUAAA